UGAGGCUCCUCGUGAUCAUAUCCUUAUAAUCUGUCCCAAAGCUUUGAAGUUGUAGCAUGCUCUCCAUUAUCCAUCACAGUGCUUCCACUUCCGAAUGUAAGGCAAUCUCUCGCCUUCUUAAGUUUCGCGUCCCCAUAAGUUGUAUAUUUCCCAGGCUAUCAUUCCAGACUCAACCGCAACCACUGAACUAAUCUGUGGAAAUCCAUAAACCAUCC
rnacentral:lncRNA from 1 species